rnacentral:rRNA from 1 species
AGAGUUUGAUUCUGGCUCAGGAUUAACGCUGGCGGCGUGCCUAAUACAUGCAAGUCGAAUGGUAGUAGCAAUACAAACCAUGGCGAACGGGUGAGUAACACGUAGGUAACCUGUCUUUAAGACGAGGAUAACCAUUGGAAACGAUGGAUAAUACUGGAUAGGACACCAUAAAGGGCAUCCUUAGAUGUUUAAAGAUUAUAAUGUCACUUAGAGAGGGGCCUGCGGCGCAUUAGCUAGUUGGUGAGGUAAGAGCCCACCAAGGCGAUGAUGCGUAGCCGGACUGAGAGGUUGAACGGCCACAAUGGAACUGAGAACGGUCCAUACUCCUACGGGAGGCAGCAGUAGGGAAUUUUCGGCAAUGGGCGCAAGCCUUGACCGAGCAACGCCGCGUGAACGAAGAAGUUAUUCGUAAUGUAAAGUUCUUUUAUCUGGGAAGAAAAAACAAAUUGACGGUACCAGAUGAAUAAGCUCCGGCUAACUACGUGCCAGCCGCUGC